ensembl:snRNA U6 U6 spliceosomal RNA
GUGCUCACUUUGGCAGCACAUAAACUAAAAUUGGAACGAUACAGAGAUAAGCAUGGCCCCUGCGCAAGGAUGACACGCAAAUUUGUGAUGAGUUCCAUAUUAAA